UCAGAGGAGCGGGUUUUAAGAGUAAGCUGCCGGAGGUUUUCCGGACCGUGGAGAGCAGUCCAAAGGAAAAUCCGCCGAAGGGGAUACAUGGAUAACGUAUCCGCCUGGCCCUGGGUUUAAGAAACACUGGGUUGUCAUCAUGUACGUGAUGGAGAACUG
rnacentral:ncRNA from 1 species